rnacentral:rRNA from 1 species
UGCGUAGGUGGCGCGUUAAGUCCGUUGUGAAAGCCCUGGGCUCAACCCAGGAACUGCUUCGGAUACUGGCGCGCUUGAGGCUAGUAGGGGUCACUGGAACUGACGGUGGAGCGGUGAAAUGCGUAGAUAUCGUCAGGAACGCCAAUGGUGAAGACAGGUGACUGGGCUAGUUCUGACACUGAGGCACGAAAGCGUGGGGAGCGAACG